UCUCGCUCUUUUCGCUCUUCUCUCCCUCCUGCUUUCUCCUGCCUUCUUCCCCCCAGAGUGGAACACACUGUAUCCUGACGCUCUCCGUUUCUUGUUGGCGCCAUCUUGUGGAUGUUCUUCCUGCCCACCCGCACUAACGUUAUUCUCUAGCAGCAGCAACCCCAUUCCACACACACACACACACACAGGCUGCAUCGCGAAACCAACUCAAGUCUCAUUGUUUUUUGUUAUCGCAUCAUACUUGCACGCGCCCAAGAUGUCGAGGAAAGAUGACAAGUCUAAAGACAGCACCGCCAUUGUAACGGUCAACAUUGAUGAUUUCACCAGAACUCGCGACAGCGU
rnacentral:sRNA from 2 species